ACUCCUACGGGAGGCAGCAGUAGGGAAUCUUCCGCAAUGGACGAAAGUCUGACGGAGCAACGCCGCGUGAGUGAUGAAGGUUUUCGGAUCGUAAAGCUCUGUUGUUAGGGAAGAACAAGUGCAAGAGUAACUGCUUGCACCUUGACGGUACCUAACCAGAAAGCCACGGCUAACUACGUGCCAGCAGCCGCGGUAAUACGUAGGUGGCAAGCGUUGUCCGGAAUUAUUGGGCGUAAAGGGCUCGCAGGCGGUUUCUUAAGUCUGAUGUGAAAGCCCCCGGCUCAACCGGGGAGGGUCAUUGGAAACUGGGAAACUUGAGUGCAGAAGAGGAGAGUGGAAUUCCACGUGUAGCGGUGAAAUGCGUAGAGAUGUGGAGGAACACCAGUGGCGAAGGCGACUCUCUGGUCUGUAACUGACGCUGAGGAGCGAAAGCGUGGGGAGCGAACAGGAUUAGAUACCCUGGUAGUCCACGCCGUAAACGAUGAGUGCUAAGUGUUAGGGGGUUUCCGCCCCUUAGUGCUGCAGCUAACGCAUUAAGCACUCCGCCUGGGGAGUACGGUCGCAAGACUGAAACUCAAAGGAAUUGACGG
rnacentral:rRNA from 3 species